GUAUUUUUAAACUUUUUAAUUAAA
rnacentral:tRNA from 1 species